rnacentral:rRNA from 1 species
CACGUAGGGACCAAGCGUUGUCCGGAAUCAUUGGGCGUAAAGAGCGCGUAGGCGGUCCGGUAAGUCCGCUCUGAAAGCCCGGGGCUCAACCCCGGGAGGCGGGCGGAUACUGUCGGGCUAGAGUCCGGAAGAGGCGAGUGGAAUUCCUGGUGUAGCGGUGAAAUGCGCAGAUAUCAGGAGGAACACCGAUGGCGAAGGCAGCUCGCUGGGACGGUACUGACGCUGAGGCGCGAAAGCGUGGGGAGCAAACAGG